UACGUAGGGGGCAAGCGUUAUCCGGAUUUACUGGGUGUAAAGGGAGCGCAGACGGCAGUGCAAGUCUGGAGUGAAAGCCCGGGGCCCAACCCCGGGACUGCUCUGGAAACUGUACGGCUAGAGUACGGGAGGGGCAGGUGGAAUUCCUAGUGUAGCGGUGAAAUGCGUAGAUAUUAGGAGGAACACCGGCGGCGAAGGCGGCCUGCUGGACCGAAACUGACGUUGAGGCUCGAAAGCGUGGGGAGCAAACAGG
rnacentral:rRNA from 1 species